GCCCUCCUGAGGAGAUAACAUUUGAGCAGAAACCUGAAUGGAGGGAAGAAGACAUGCAGGCAUCUGGAGGGAGAAGUUUCUAAGGCAGAGGCCCUGAGACUGGAUGUGCUUAGUAUGCUCAAGGAGUAGCAAGGGGAGGGUCAGAGUGGCCAAAGCAGAAUAUGAAAAGUAAGAAAAGGUGAAGGGAGAGGUAGCCAAGUACUAUUACAUCAUAAAGGGCCUUCUGACUGCUGUAAAAAGCUUUUAACACAAAUACGAUGGAAAGCCACCAGAGAUGUAUGAGUGGAGACAGGCACAAUCUGACUUAUAUUUGAAAUGGAUUGCUCUGGCACUGCGGACAGAAAACUGUGUAAACGUAUUUUCUCACAGUCCUGGAGGCUGGAGUCAGAGAUCAGGGUGCCAGCCUGGCUGGGUUCUGGUGGGGGCCCUCUUCCAGGCUUGCUCAUGACUGCCUUCUCUCACUGUGUCUCUCCCGUUGUUUGAGCCACAAAAUCUGUGGUAUUUUAUUAUCACAACCUGAGCUGCCUAGACAGGAUGUUAAGACUAGAUGAUCCGGGGAUCUCUUUUGGCUCCAAUAUUGCACAAUUUGAUGUAAUAUUUGAUAAUUUCUGUCUAAUUUUGUAAAAUUUCAUGCUAGCAAUGGAACUAAAGAAGUCUUUGUUUUAGAAUAUCCUUCUGAGAGUUAGGAAUGUAGAUCCAGGCUCCUUGGCUGUUUAGCAUCUCAGGCUGCAUUGUGAUAAGGAAGCAGACAGAAGAACUGGUAUCAAAGCCAAGUGUUUAUCCAAAUUCUACAUUAAGAAUAUAACGUUUUCAGUGAAGGUUUUUGUAGAUGUGAAAAAAGAGUACAUGUGAAAAGUAAGAAAAAGAAAGCCAACAACUGAAAUCUUCCAGGAUAACACCAAAAAAAGUGUUCCAACCUUGGCUUGGCUACAUGGAACACAGAAGGCAUCUACCAUGGUACCAAGGCAUGAAACAGAUGAGCCAGGACUCCCCAGCCCUUCAAUCAGCAGGUGGGCUGCAGCCACACAAAGGCUCACCACCUGAGGAACGACGUCUUGGCUGCAGGGUAACUUACUGAGUGUGGAUGAGCACGUGCUGCUUGAGGUCCUGCCUCCGCAUAAACAACUUGUCACAGUAAUCACACUUAAGAUUCUUCUCCCCAGUGUGGAUAACCAUGUGGGACUCCAGGUGAGCCUUCUGGGUGAAAGACUUGUCACACAAGGUACACCUGUAGUUCUUCUGACCUGCAAUCAGCCCAAAGUAUUACACCGUGAAGAAAACAACUGCUGGCAUCCCCAAGACACACAGGCACACAUAUGUGCAUGCAGCAGAGGCAGGAAUGAAACAGAGCUGACUGGGUCUUGCUCAGUAGCUGCAAGCUGGAGUGCAGUGGCGUGAUCACAGCUGACUGCUGCCUCUACCUCCUAGGCUCAUGAGAUCUUCCCACCUCAGCCCCCAAGCAGCUGGGACCACAGAUUCUAAGAAGCAAUCCCGGAAGAAGGCAAGAAUCAAGAUACUAAGCUCUAUCUUCCCUACUCAUUUAGGGUAAAAUAAUUUCCUACACAGUUCUACAGUUUAUGUGUGUGUUUCUAACUGACCUAUGCAACCAUCUGCCAGUUGCUGAUUUUACACCUUUUUCUUCGCAUAAAAUAUAAUAAACUAACUGAAAUGCAGCCACUUUGAAAAAUGCAGUGGGGCUUCAAUAAUUUCAAUGAAUUUGUGCCUUAUCUUCCUUAUUCUAAACAUACGGCCUUUGAAAGGGCCUU
rnacentral:lncRNA from 1 species